AGACAUCUCCCCACCAGGGCAGCAGUCAGCCCAUGACCGACUGGAGGCACAAAAGGCCAGGCCCUUGCCUGCGGCCUCUCGGGAGGGUCUCCUGCCCACAGGGGCUAUGACUGCCUCCUAGAAGAAUCCAGCCUGGAUUUUAACCACCAGCCCAUAAAAUCCUAAACAGCUUGGGACCAGUCCAUGCUGUUAUGAGCUGAGUCCCUCUGCAGUUCUCACAAUUGAAGGUGAACAUUCCAGCCAUCCCUGGGCUCUUAAGCAGAGGCCAGCAUCCUGCCGAAGAAUUCUUUUUGCCCUGAGACCGAGGCCACAUUGUAGGAUGGAGACUUUCCAGUGUCCAUGGGCUCUCCUGCUCCAGCUGGCGCUAGUCAUCUCUGAAGUCUCAGUUUCCCACCUGGAGGAGUUGGAGGAGAACUGUGGGCUGAUGCUUGUUCAAGUCAUUCUGAGGGGUGCAGUCUAAGGAAGAGCUCUCUGAACGGCAACUAGAUUCCAGAAUCCCCUUUUAGGGCUUGUCGAUGGAGGAGAUAAUUUGGGGUCAGGCCCAGCUUCAUGUGUGAGCCCUGUGAAGUUACACAGGGCUCACCACUUAGAAGGGCCUAUGCUUGGUUUAAUGCGCUACUGUUGCUAUCUUGAAAUUAUUAAUAAUUUUAAACAAGGAUGUCUGUCUUUUCACCUUGCCCUGGGCCCCACAAAUUAUGUAACUGGUCCCGUUUGGGGUCCCAUUUGGGCUCCCACAUUUAUGAAGAGUUGUUCAGGGUUGCCUGCCAAGAGGCAGAGGAAAAGGUGAAAUUUCCCCGGGAUACCUUUUACCCCAAGACGCUGGUGAAACUUGUAGGCUCCAUA
rnacentral:lncRNA from 1 species